rnacentral:rRNA from 1 species
GUGCCAGCAGCUGCGGUAAUACGUAGGUGGCAAGCGUUAUCCGGAUUUAUUGGGCGUAAAGCGAGCGCAGGCGGUUUUUUAAGUCUGAUGUGAAAGCCCUCGGCUUAACCGAGGAAGUGCAUCGGAAACUGGGAAACUUGAGUGCAGAAGAGGACAGUGGAACUCCAUGUGUAGCGGUGAAAUGCGUAGAUAUAUGGAAGAACACCAGUGGCGAAGGCGGCUGUCUGGUCUGUAACUGACGCUGAGGCUCGAAAGCAUGGGUAGCGAACAGGAUUAGAUACCCUGGUAGUCCAUGCCGUAAACGAUGAAUGCUAGGUGUUGGAGGGUUUCCGCCCUUCAGUGCCGCAGCUAACGCAUUAAGCAUUCCGCCUGGGGAGUACGACCGCAAGGUUGAACUACAAAGGAAUUGACGGGGGCCCGCACAAGCGGUGGAGCAUGUGGUUUAAUUCGAAGCAACGACGAA